AUAAGGUAUAUGUUUAACACGCAUGCGCGUCGUACAUAUUGGCGUUACCAAGGAGUAUAGAAGCGCUAUAUACCUAGGGUUACUGCGCAUGUACAGGUUCAUUCACUUCCGGAUGUAUGGUGGAUUCGAGAUUCGUUGGCAAUGCAUACUACAGUCCUCAGAAAAGGAGAAAAGAUAACAAUAGAACAGUGCAUCUCAUGCUGUGAUAAAUAUCACUGCCCAUUUUGUGAGACCUGGGUCUACAAACCAGUGGACUUGUACAGUGUCACGAAGCAUGUGCAGGAUCAUCUGAAAACAGCUGUUCGUGAAGAAGAUUUUAUUAUCAUAAGAUGCAGCUUAAAAUGCAGAGAUGUUUCUCAUUUUCAUUGCUGCUAUUGUUCUGCUACAAUCAUACGAAAAGCACAAUUUAACAUCCAUCUUACAAAAUGCAAGCAAAAGAAACAAAAGUUUCCAUCUCCACAAAGAACUCCAUCACCCAUGGUUCUGAUUGGUAAUACACCUCUGCCUGCAGCUUCUGCUCAGACAGCACCCCUUCUUCAACCUCAGCCUUCUCCAAGUGAACCACGCACGUCUUUGUCUCCCACGCCCAGUACUCCACUGUAUCAACCCAAAGUGUCGUGAACUGGAGUGCAUUUUCUGUAGGAUACAGACAGGAGUUCCGGGUGCCGUAUUCACUGACCCAGUGCCUAUGGUGCCAUGAAACAUUCAAAGACUGCCCACCUGGCUAUGUUGGGAAUGGCAGGAGGGGAG